CGCCUAAUCCUGCCGCCUCCCGGAAACCGCACCCGACUAUUAACGCGCGCGGCAGGAGCGGGGGAACCAGGUAAGCCGCCGUCCCGGAUCCUUCUCCGGAACGGCUAGGGGUGAAGCCGUACAUGCUCCGUUCAUGUACGGCCGGACAUCUCCAGUCCGAACCCGACAGCUCACCUCGCAGGCGACGGAGAGGAAUU
rnacentral:sRNA from 1 species